rnacentral:rRNA from 1 species
GACGAACGCUGGCGGCGUGCCUAAUACAUGCAAGUCGAACGCUUCUUUCCUCCCGAGUGCUUGCACUCCAUUGGAAAGAGGAGUGGCGGACGGGUGAGUAACACGUGGGUAACCUACCCAUCAGAGGGGGCUAACACUUGGAAACAGGUGCUAAUACCGCAUAACAGUUUAUGCCGCAUGGCAUAAGAGUGAAAGGCGCUUUCGGGUGACGUUGAUGGAUGGACCCGCGGUGCAUUAGCUAGUUGGUGAGGUAACGGCUCACCAAGGCCACGAUGCAUAGCCGACCUGAGAGGGUGAUCGGCCACACUGGGACUGAGACACGGCCCAGACUCCUACGGGAGGCAGCAGUCGGGAAUCUUCGGCCAUGGACGAAAGUCUGACGGAGCAACGCCGCGUGAGUUAAGAAGGUGUUCGGAUCGUAAAACUCUGUUGUUUGGGAAGAACCAGGACGUUAGGAACUGAACGUCCCGUGACGGUAUCUAAGCAGAAAGCCACGGCUAACUACGUG